rfam:Otolemur garnettii contig173218, whole genome shotgun sequence.
GCUGGACACAGUGACAUACACCUGUAGUCCCAGCUGCAUGGGAGGCUGAGACAGGAGGUUUGCUUAAUUCCAAGAGUGAGUUUUGGGUGUCUGCACCAAGUUUGGCAUCCGCUCCUCCCAGGAGCUGGAGGCCACCAGGUUGCCUAAAGAUGGGUGAACCAGGUUGGCCAGGUUGGAAACGGAGCAGGUCAGAACUCCUGUGCCGAUCAGUAGUGGUUUUGCACCUGUGAAUAGCUAUUGCACUCCAGCUUGGGCAACAUAGCCAGAUUCUGUCUCAA